AAACACUGUGUUUUGGGCCGAGUAAAGCAGAGCAGUGAGCAGAGGGAUUCACACGGACGGAUGGAUGGAAUGACACAGAAGAUAAAUCCAGCUUCCUGUCAAGUUUCACGUGCAACAGAGGUGAGGAGAGUCUCAUAACACACACGACUUGUUUGGGGAGAGAACAGGGGUCAUUGAGGGUCUGCGAGACGUCACCUCUACCUGCUGGAGGGCAAGGUCCAUCUAUGGAGCAGCUCGACCUGGCCCGGCGUGUCUAAACUGAUAAUGGAAAAUCAAAUCGGCGUGGCCAAAAGUGACAGAGACAGGAACCAGUGGGGGCUCUAUCUGAAGCCGAGCUCACAAAGAGACAACUCCCCCACUCGGUCUCACUCCCAGGAUCCCUCCUGUGUUCCUGCCUUCGAUCCAACACACACACACAUCCAUCUAUGCGCUCGCCUGCUACCCAGAAACCCAGCCUUCAUCCCUACCCCCUUCACG